UGAGGUUGGUGUACUGUGUGUGAGUAUAUAUAUACUUAUCACACACAGUAGCUAUCUUCAAA
rnacentral:pre_miRNA from 1 species